UUUUGUUUUCUUAUUUUCAUUAACUUUCAAAAUUAAUUUUAAAUAGCUCCUUUGACCUUUUUGACUCCAUUUUUUCAUAAAAUCCAUAAAAAUAGUUUACAUCACAUAUAUAUUUUUUUGCAUAUUUUUAAAAUUAUUUUUUCUUUUAUUAAUAUUUUUUUCCUUUUCUUUUUAUUUUCAUUUUCAAUUUAUUUUUCAACCAUUUUUAAAUAUGUUUGCAUCCAACUUUUGAGGUCCUUUUAUUUGUAAUAUUUUGACUUUUC
rnacentral:lncRNA from 1 species